AUUGAACGCUGGCGGCAGGCCUAACACAUGCAAGUCGGGCGGACGGCGGACGGGUGAGUAGUGUAUUGGCAUCUGCCUGAUGGCGGGGGCUGACUACUGGCACCGGUAGCUAAUACCGCAUAAUAUCCGUUGGACCCAUGCGGGAUGAGCGAGUAGGUAAGGUAACGGCUUACAUAGGCGACGAUCCCUAGCUGGUCUGAGAGGGUGAUCAGCCACACUGGGACUGAGACACGGCCCAGACUCCUACGGGAGGCAGCAGUGGGGAAUAUUGCACAAUGGGCGCAAGCCUGAUGCAGCCAUGCCGCGUGUAUGAAGAAGGCCUUCGGGUUGUAAAGCACUUUCAGUCGGGAGGCGUUACCGACAGAAGAAGCACCGGCUAACUCCGUGCCAGCAGCCGCGGUAAUAC
rnacentral:rRNA from 1 species